rnacentral:rRNA from 1 species
AGGAAGGUGGGGACGACGUCAAGUCAUCAUGGCCCUUAUGUCCUGGGCUACACACGUGCUACAAUGGCCGGUACAGAGCGCAGCGAGGCCGCGAGGCGGAGCGAAUCGCUUAAAGCCGGUCCCAGUACGGAUUGGAGUCUGCAACCCGACUCCAUGAAGUUGGAAUCGCUAGUAAUCGCGCAUCAGCAUGGCGCGGUGAAUACGUUCCCGGGCCUU